AUCACUUCUCAGCCUUUUGGCUAAGAUCAAGUGUAAUAUCUGUUCUUAUCAGUUUAAUAAGGUUUUCUUACUAUUGGCUCUUUUUUAAAAGUGUUUAAACACUAUUUUGUCCAGGUGUGGUGCUACAUGCCUGUAAUCUCAGCACUUGGGAGGCUGAGGCAGGAGGAUUGCAGUGAGUUA
ensembl:snRNA U2 U2 spliceosomal RNA